rnacentral:rRNA from 1 species
GAUGAACGCUGGCGGCGUGCCUAAUACAUGCAAGUCGAGCGAACGGACGAGAAGCUUGCUUCUCUGAUGUUAGCAGCGGACGGGUGAGUAACACGUGGAUAACCUACCUAUAAGACUGGGAUAACUUCGGGAAACCGGAGCUAAUACCGGAUGAUAUUUUGAACCGCAUGGUUCAAAAGUGAAAGACGGUCUUGCUGUCACUUAUAGAUGGAUCCGCGCUGCAUUAGCUAGUUGGUAAGGUAACGGCUUACCAAGGCAACGAUGCAUAGCCGACCUGAGAGGGGGAUCGGCCACACUGGAACUGAGACACGGUCCAGACUCCUACGGGAGGCAGCAGUAGGGAAUCUUCCGCAAUGGGCGAAAGCCUGACGGAGCAACGCCGCGUGAGUGAUGAAGGUCUUCGGAUCGUAAAACUCUGUUAUUAGGGAAGAACAUAUGUGUAAGUAACUGUGCACAUCUUGACGGGACCUAAUCAGAAAGCCACGGCUAACUACGU